UUGGCGGCGUGGUUAAGACAUGCAAGUCGAACGGGAUUUUUUGUGUAGUAAUACAUAAAAAAUCUAGUGGCGAACGGGUGCGUAACACGUGAGCAAUCUGCCGGGAAGUGGGGGAUAGCUCGCCGAAAGGCGAAUUAAUACCGCAUGUGGCCAGAGGGGACAUCCCUUCGACGCCAAAGUCGCAAGACGCUUCCUGAUGAGCCCGCGGCCUAUCAGCUUGUUGGUGAGGUAAUGGCUCACCAAGGCUUUGACGGGUAGCUGGUCUGAGAGGACGACCAGCCACACUGGAACUGAGACACGGUCCAGACACCUACGGGUGGCAGCAGUCGAGAAUUUUUCACAAUGGGGGAAACCCUGAUGGAGCGACGCCGCGUGGAGGAUGAAGGUCUUCGGAUUGUAAACUCCUGUCAUGCGAGAACAAGAAAGUGAUAGUAUCGCAAGAGGAAGAGACGGCUAACUCUGUGCCAGCAGCCGCGGUAAUACAGAGGUCUCAAGCGUUGUUCGGAUUCAUUGGGCGUAAAGGGUGCGUAGGUGGCGUGGAAAGUUGAGUGUGAAAUCCUAGGGCUUAACCUUAGAACUGCACUCAAUACUCCCAUGCUAGAGGAAUGUAGAGGAGAGUGGAAUUCACGGUGUAGCAGUGAAAUGCGUAGAUAUCGUGAGGAAGACCAGUUGCGAAGGCGACUCUCUGGGCAUUUCCUGACACUGAGGCACGAANGCCAGGGGAGCAAACGGGAUUAGAUACCCCGGUAGUCCUGGCAGUAAACGGUGCACAUUUGGGUGUGGGCGGGUUCAGACCCCGUCCGUGCCGGANCUAACGCGUUAAAUGUGCCGCCNGGGAAGUACGGUCNCAAGAUUAAAACUCAAAGAAAUUGACGANGGCCCGCACAANCGGUGGANUAUGUGGCUUAAUUCNAUGC
rnacentral:rRNA from 1 species